rnacentral:rRNA from 1 species
GAAUGAGAUUUCGGUCAAAUGAAGUUGAGGACAGUGGCGGACGGGUGAGUAACGCGUGAGGAACCUGCCUUUCAGAGGGGGACAACAGUUGGAAACGACUGCUAAUACCGCAUAACACAUUGAGGUCGCAUGGCCUUGAUGUCAAAGAUUUAUCGCUGAAAGAUGGCCUCGCGUCUGAUUAGCUAGUUGGUGAGGUAACGGCCCACCAAGGCGACGAUCAGUAGCCGGACUGAGAGGUUGAACGGCCACAUUGGGACUGAGAUACGGCCCAGACUCCUACGGGAGGCAGCAGUGGGGAAUAUUGGGCAAUGGGCGCAAGCCUGACCCAGCAACGCCGCGUGAAGGAAGAAGGCUUUCGGGUUGUAAACUUCUUUUGCAAGGGAAGAGAAGAAGACGGUACCUUGUGAAUAAGCCACGGCUAACUACGUGCCAGCAGCCGCGGUAAUACGUAGGUGGCAAGCGUUGUCCGGAUUUACUGGAUGUAAAGGGCGUGUAGCCGGGUCGGUAAGUCAGAUGUGAAAUCUAUGAGCUCAACUCAUAAACUGCAUUUGAAACUGCUGAUCUUGGGUAUCGGAGAGGCAAUCGGAAUUCCUAGUGUAGCGGUGAAAUGCGUAGAUAUUAGGAGGAACACCAGUGGCGAAGGCGGAUUGCUGGACGACAACUGACGGUGAGGCGCGAAAGCGUGGGGAGCAAACAGGAUUAGAUACCCUGGUAGUCCACGCUGUAAACGAU